rnacentral:rRNA from 1 species
AGCGUACACGGUGGAUGCCCUGGCAGUCAGAGGCGAUGAAGGACGUGCUAAUCUGCGAUAAGCGUCGGUAAGGUGAUAUGAACCGUUAUAACCGGCGAUUUCCGAAUGGGGAAACCCAGUGUGAUUCGUCACACUAUCAUUAACUGAAUCCAUAGGUUAAUGAGGCGAACCGGGGGAACUGAAACAUCUAAGUACCCCGAGGAAAAGAAAUCAACCGAGAUUCCCCCAGUAGCGGCGAGCGAACGGGGAGCAGCCCAGAGCCUGAAUCAGUGUGUGUGUUAGUGGAAGCGUCUGGAAAGGCGCGCGAUACAGGGUGACAGCCCCGUACACAAAAAUGCACAUGCUGUGAGCUCGAUGAGUAGGGCGGGACACGUGGUAUCCUGUCUGAAUAUGGGGGGACCAUCCUCCAAGGCUAAAUACUCCUGACUGACCGAUAGUGAACCAGUACCGUGAGGGAAAGGCGAAAAGAACCCCGGCGAGGGGAGUGAAAAAGAACCUGAAACCGUGUACGUACAAGCAGUGGGAGCACAGAGCAAUCUGUGUGACUGCGUACCUUUUGUAUAAUGGGUCAGCGACUUAUAUUCUGUAGCAAGGUUAACCGAAUAGGGGAGCCGAAGGGAAACCGAGUCUUAACUGGGCGUUAAGUUGCAGGGUAUAGACCCGAAACCCGGUGAUCUAGCCAUGGGCAGGUUGAAGGUUGGGUAACACUAACUGGAGGACCGAACCGACUAAUGUUGAAAAAUUAGCGGAUGACUUGUGGCUGGGGGUGAAAGGCCAAUCAAACCGGGAGAUAGCUGGUUCUCCCCGAAAGCUAUUUAGGUAGCGCCUCGUGAAUUCAUCUCCGGGGGUAGAGCACUGUUUCGGCAAGGGGGUCAUCCCGACUUACCAACCCGAUGCAAACUGCGAAUACCGGAGAAUGUUAUCACGGGAGACACACGGCGGGUGCUAACGUCCGUCGUGAAGAGGGAAACAACCCAGACCGCCAGCUAAGGUCCCAAAGUCAUGGUUAAGUGGGAAACGAUGUGGGAAGGCCCAGACAGCCAGGAUGUUGGCUUAGAAGCAGCCAUCAUUUAAAGAAAGCGUAAUAGCUCACUGGUCGAGUCGGCCUGCGCGGAAGAUGUAACGGGGCUAAACCAUGCACCGAAGCUGCGGCAGCGACGCUUAUGCGUUGUUGGGUAGGGGAGCGUUCUGUAAGCCUGUGAAGGUGUACUGUGAGGUAUGCUGGAGGUAUCAGAAGUGCGAAUGCUGACAUAAGUAACGAUAAAGCGGGUGAAAAGCCCGCUCGCCGGAAGACCAAGGGUUCCUGUCCAACGUUAAUCGGGGCAGGGUGAGUCGACCCCUAAGGCGAGGCCGAAAGGCGUAGUCGAUGGGAAACAGGUUAAUAUUCCUGUACUUGGUGUUACUGCGAAGGGGGGACGGAGAAGGCUAUGUUGGCCGGGCGACGGUUGUCCCGGUUUAAGCGUGUAGGCUGGUUUUCCAGGCAAAUCCGGAAAAUCAAGGCUGAGGCGUGAUGACGAGGCACUACGGUGCUGAAGCAACAAAUGCCCUGCUUCCAGGAAAAGCCUCUAAGCAUCAGGUAACAUCAAAUCGUACCCCAAACCGACACAGGUGGUCAGGUAGAGAAUACCAAGGCGCUUGAGAGAACUCGGGUGAAGGAACUAGGCAAAAUGGUGCCGUAACUUCGGGAGAAGGCACGCUGAUAUGUAGGUGAAGUCCCUCGCGGAUGGAGCUGAAAUCAGUCGAAGAUACCAGCUGGCUGCAACUGUUUAUUAAAAACACAGCACUGUGCAAACACGAAAGUGGACGUAUACGGUGUGACGCCUGCCCGGUGCCGGAAGGUUAAUUGAUGGGGUUAGCGCAAGCGAAGCUCUUGAUCGAAGCCCCGGUAAACGGCGGCCGUAACUAUAACGGUCCUAAGGUAGCGAAAUUCCUUGUCGGGUAAGUUCCGACCUGCACGAAUGGCGUAAUGAUGGCCAGGCUGUCUCCACCCGAGACUCAGUGAAAUUGAACUCGCUGUGAAGAUGCAGUGUACCCGCGGCAAGACGGAAAGACCCCGUGAACCUUUACUAUAGCUUGACACUGAACAUUGAGCCUUGAUGUGUAGGAUAGGUGGGAGGCUUUGAAGUGUGGACGCCAGUCUGCAUGGAGCCGACCUUGAAAUACCACCCUUUAAUGUUUGAUGUUCUAACGUUGACCCGUAAUCCGGGUUGCGGACAGUGUCUGGUGGGUAGUUUGACUGGGGCGGUCUCCUCCUAAAGAGUAACGGAGGAGCACGAAGGUUGGCUAAUCCUGGUCGGACAUCAGGAGGUUAGUGCAAUGGCAUAAGCCAGCUUGACUGCGAGCGUGACGGCGCGAGCAGGUGCGAAAGCAGGUCAUAGUGAUCCGGUGGUUCUGAAUGGAAGGGCCAUCGCUCAACGGAUAAAAGGUACUCCGGGGAUAACAGGCUGAUACCGCCCAAGAGUUCAUAUCGACGGCGGUGUUUGGCACCUCGAUGUCGGCUCAUCACAUCCUGGGGCUGAAGUAGGUCCCAAGGGUAUGGCUGUUCGCCAUUUAAAGUGGUACGCGAGCUGGGUUUAGAACGUCGUGAGACAGUUCGGUCCCUAUCUGCCGUGGGCGCUGGAGAACUGAGGGGGGCUGCUCCUAGUACGAGAGGACCGGAGUGGACGCAUCACUGGUGUUCGGGUUGUCAUGCCAAUGGCACUGCCCGGUAGCUAAAUGCGGAAGAGAUAAGUGCUGAAAGCAUCUAAGCACGAAACUUGCCCCGAGAUGAGUUCUCCCUGACUCCUUGA